rnacentral:ncRNA from 2 species
UUCUCAUCAAGAGAGGUGGAGGGACGGGCCCUAUGAAGCCUCGGCAACCGGUUCUGAUUUACAGAACGUCCUGGUGCCAAUUCCCGCCCGAACAGGGAGAGAUGAGUG